rnacentral:sRNA from 1 species
GAGAAUAUUGUGCAAAGAAUGGCCAGAUGGGAUUAACAAAGGGAGGUUUUCCCUGAGAAAGAAAAAGGUAAGAAUUAUCCAAUGUUAACUUUACAAAGUCUGUAAAUCUAUUCUGAAUAGCUUUUUUUCCUCGAAAAAUUUUAGUUGAUGAGGAAUCUGGAUUAAAGGAUUCAGAACCAGAGCGAAAACGCAAGAAGACUGAAGACUCUUCUUCAGGCAAAUCAGUGGCGUCUGAUGUCCCUGAGGAAUUAGACUUUCUUGUACCUAAGGCUGGAUUCUUCUGUCCAAUUUGUUCCCUCUUCUACUCAGGUGAAAAAGCAAUGACAAAUCACUGCAAGAGUACACGUCAUAAGCAAAAUACUGAGGUAAUUUUUAAAAUUCUUACAAAAUCUUGAGGUGUUGUUAUUGUCUUAGAAUCAAAUUAUUUAUCUCCCCAAACAUACAUUUCCCCCCCCUUUAGGAGAAUGUUUAUGCCAGUUUAUUCCUCUUAAGUCCUGUUUUCUCCUUCAGUGUACCUUGCCUGUAAUUUCUAGUCCUUAUUCCUUUUCCUUGAACAGCAACAUUUGCCAGAGUAGAUUCUGCAGAUCACUAGUCUCAUAUGACACUCCAUUAUUAAAGUAAGAAACUGCAUAUUUUGAUGCCCUCUUG